rnacentral:tRNA from 1 species
AAAAAGAUAAGCUAAAAAAAGCUAUUAGGUUCAUACCCUAAACAUAGAAACGGUAUUCUUCUUUUUA